rnacentral:rRNA from 1 species
CCUACGGGAGGCUGCAGUAAGGAAUAUUGGUCAAUGGACGCAAGUCUGAACCAGCCAUGCCGCGUGGAGGAUUAAGGCCCUUGGGUUGUAAACUCCUUUUAUCUGGGAAGCGGUACCAGAGGAAUAAGCACCGGCUAACUCCGUGCCAGCAGCCGCGGUAAUACGGAGGGUGCAAGCGUUAUCCGGAUUCACUGGGUUUAAAGGGUGCGUAGGCGGGCAGGUAAGUCCGUGGUGAAAUCUCUGAGCUUAACUCAGAAACUGCCAUGGAUACUAUUUGUCUUGAAUAUUGUGGAGGUAAGCGGAAUAUGUCAUGUAGCGGUGAAAUGCUUAGAUAUGACAUAGAACACCAAUUGCGAAGGCAGCUUACUACACGUAUUGACGCUGAGGCACGAAAGCGUGGGGAUCAAACAGGAUUAGAUACCCUUGUAGUC